AAUCGAUGAUCCUCGAUAUACCUCACCAUUUUUUGCUUUUCCAGCCUGUAUACCUCCGUCGCAAACCUACCAUUUGAAUGUCAUAAAGUAAGUUCAACUGGGCCCUAGCACGCCAAUACGUCAGGUCAAGGUGCAGCCCAUAAAAUGGGAAGCAAUGGGCUACAAUUUCUAAAAUAGAACAAACAAAAAACUACAUGAAACAUAGUCAUGAAGGCGGAUUUAGCAGUAAAAGAAGAACAGUAAGCUUCUUUUAAUAAGGCUCUGGGACGUGUACAAACCGCCCGUCACCCUCUUCAAUACCACUCCUUCAGCUCUAUAACAUCUUCUCAAUA
rnacentral:rRNA from 1 species